GGAUGAGCUGAGCCUGGACACCUGGAAAAAGGAAAGAACAGAGCAGCUCUGAGCAGGGCUGAGCUCUGCAGGAGGGGAGGAAUCCUGGGAUGGGGAUCUCCAGGAAGAGUUCCCAGCCAGGAAUGCCAGCAAUCCAAGGCUGGGCUUUGUGCUCAGCCCGGAGCAGGUGAGAUCCCUUUAAUCCCUCCUGUGGGAACUAUUCUUGCAGCUUUUCCAGGGAAAAUCCAGCUCCAGGAUUUCUGCCUGUACAGGGGGAUGGGACACGGAGCUGAGGUUUAAAUUCCACUUCUUUGUGAGCUCUUAUCUGUGCCCUUUGCUCUGGGGAACCUGCCCCCGCCCCUGUCCCUGCCCUGGGAAGGGACGCCCUGUCCCCCAAGAGCUGGGGAAAGCUCUGCAGCUUCCUCUGCACCUGGCUCUGCUUUAGUGGCUGCGAGUCCAGGAGAGAGCUGGAACCCCUCCAGGGGCUGCAGGUGCCACCGGGGCUGCCCAAGGAUGAGAGAAUUCCAACUCCUUUUCCUUUCUUCUUCCUCCUCCUCCCUUCUCCUCCCUUCUCCUUCCUUCUCUUUCCUUUUCCUUCCUUCUCCCUCUCUCUCCUCCCUUCCUCUAGAUGUCCCUGUGGCCCUGCCUGGGACACACAACUGCUCCCAGCAGGAGGGAGAGAGGGAUGGAUGGAGGGAUGGAUGGAUGGAUGGAUGGAUGGAUGGAUGAUGGAUGGAUGGAUGGAUGGAUGGAUGGAUGGAUGGAUGGAUGGAUGGAUGGAUGGAUGGAUGAUGGAUGGAGGGAUGGAUGGAGGGAUGGAUGAAGUGUUCAGUUCUGCUUUUAACAAUCUAUGCAAUGAGAGAAUCCCGGGAUUGUUCAGGUGGGAAAAGACCUGUAGGACCACCAGGUCCCCCAGCACAGCCAAGGCCACCACCGCCCCUGUCCCCACGUGCCACAUCCACAGGGAUUUUAAACCCCUCUGGGGAUGGGGACUCCACCCCUGCCCUGGGCAGCUGUGCCAGUGCUGGAAAACCUUUCCAUGACGAAGUUUUCGCUAAAAUCCAGUUUAAGCCCUGCUUAAAUCUCCCCCUACGAAGUCUGCUGGGC
rnacentral:lncRNA from 12 species